AAGAGCAGGAGGAGACUGGAGGAAGAAACACCAAGGAAAACAUGAAGGAAAGUUUGUGUGCUCACAUGCUUAAUGAGUGAAAUGAAAAUUGCCCUGUUUUCUCUGAAAAUGGAUCUAUUGUGGCUGAUCUGGAAGAAGAUGGCAGGAGGAAGAAAGAACAAGGAAAACAUGAAAGUGUGGCAUAUUUACAGCACAAUCCUAUGCAUGUCUACUCAGAAGUA